UGGGGAAUAUUGCACAAUGGGCGCAAGCCUGAUGCAGCAACGCCGCGUGAGGGAUGACGGCCUUCGGGUUGUAAACCUCUUUUAGCAGGGAAGAAGCGAAAGUGACGGUACCUGCAGAAAAAAGCACCGGCUAACUACGUGCCAGCAGCCGCGGUAAUACGUAGGGUGCAAGCGUUGUCCGGAAUUAUUGGGCGUAAAGAGCUCGUAGGCGGUCUGUCGCGUCUGCUGUGAAAUCCCGAGGCUCAACCUCGGGCCUGCAGUAGGUACGGGCAGACUAGAGUGCGGUAGGGGAGAAUGGAACUCCUGGUGUAGCGGUGGAAUGCGCAGAUAUCAGGAAGAACACCGAUGGCGAAGGCAGUUCUCUGGGCCGUAACUGACGCUGAGGAGCGAAAAGCGUGGGGAGCGAACAGGAUUAGAUACCCUGGUAGUCCACGCCGUAAAACGUUGGGCGCUAGAUGUGGGGACCAUUCCACGGUUUCCGUGUCGCAGCUAACGCAUUAAGCGCCCCGCCUGGGGAGUACGGCCGCAAGGCU
rnacentral:rRNA from 1 species